GACGAACGCUGGCGGCGUGCUUAACACAUGCAAGUCGAACGGAAAGGCCCUGCUUUUGUGGGGUGCUCGAGUGGCGAACGGGUGAGUAACACGUGAGUAACCUGCCCUUGACUUUGGGAUAACUUCAGGAAACUGGGGCUAAUACCGGAUAGGAGCUCCUGCUGCAUGGUGGGGGUUGGAAAGUUUCGGCGGUUGGGGAUGGACUGGCGGCUUAUCAGCUUGUUGGUGGGGUAGUGGCUUUCCAAGGCUUUGACGGGUAGCCGGCCUGAGAGGGUGACCGGCCACAUUGGGACUGAGAUACGGCCCAGACUCCUACGGGAGGCAGCAGUGGGGAAUAUUGCACAAUGGGCGGAAGCCUGAUGCAGCAACGCCGCGUGCGGGAUGACGGCCUUCGGGUUGUAAACCGCUUUCGCCUGUGACGAAGCGUGAGUGACGGUAAUGGGUAAAGAAGCACCGGCUAACUACGUG
rnacentral:rRNA from 1 species